CUACUCCUCAGGCUCAUCUCCUCUAUCCUCACCCUGUUGAGGAAAUCGAAGUAGGACACCUCCACACUGUACAUGAGGGAUGGGAUGUGGCUCAUCUGCUUCGUUAUCUUCUCCACAACCUGAAACAGGAAUACCACCGUCAUGGACAGCAAACUCGAUGCAGUAGUAGACCUUAUGGAACUCGGGCACGAAGCCCAGGUGAGCCGGGAAGGCAAUGGAGGUGCCGAGGAGGGACAGCUGGUUUGGAACUAUGAACCCCUCGAGAUAGUCCACCAAGUCCGGCAUGGAGAGCAGCAACUCUUGGUCUCUGGUGAAGGUGUCGAAGUCAUCGUAAAAGGCUCUGGCCCAUCUCACCUGGUCGUGACAGAAGAAGCCAUAUUCCAAAAGCAGAAUCAGUACCUUGGUUGAUGACAUGCAAAAGGGAACACUGACAACUUCUCUAAAUUACUUUCUGUGGAGCAUCUUGGAGAAGGAUCCUUGCUCUUGUUAUGAUGCCAAACUGGCCUAACCCGCCAAGAACUGCAUAGAAAAGCUCCGAGUUUUUGGUGGGUGAGCAUGUCAUCAGUUCUCCCUUGCCUGUUAGAAUCCAAGCGUGUCAGUCAACCACAUCAGAAGAAGAGAAGAAAAAGAGAACCGUUGCUUUCUUCGAUCCGAAUUACCUGUUACCACAUCUAGUUGAAGGACAUUGCUGAUCUGAGGUCCAUAUUUGAAGGUUUGGCCACUGACACCACCAUGGGAGAGAGUCCCACCAAUGCUGAGAUAAAGGUAAUCGGUCCAAGACCUUGGAGCCAGCCCAACCUUCAAGCUCUCCUCUAAAAGCUCGAUCCAGAGAGCACCACCACUGAUAUCGGCAUGAGAGAAGCCGGCUUCAUCAUCUCCCUUUUUGUGGAUGUAUAUGUCAGAGGGGAUAGAAUCCAUCUCGAUGACGAUUCCAUCAAGAGCUUGGGCUUGGCCAUGGAUGGAGUGUCCAGCUCCUCUCGCUGCAACUGUGACUUCGCCGAAGGAGGAAGCAGAGAGGAAGGUGAGGAGGAGUGAGAUGUCCUUGGGGGAUCGGGGCUUCAGGACUGCAGAGGGAGAGUUGAAGACGAGUCUCCCGAAGUCCAAGGAUGCUGCUGUGUUUCUGGUGUGGAGGAAGUCCGAGGAGCCAAAGUCCAUGGGACUCUGGAUGAACUUGCAUGGAGAACAGAGAGCCAGAACGAGGAUAAGGAUAUUGACCUUGGUGCAGAACAGAGCCAACUCCAUGGAGAGGAAGAACUAAUCAACUGAAAUGAUGACUUCUAUAUUCUCAUUGGGUCAAGGAAGCAACAAGCGGAGAAGAAGAGACUCAAUAUACUUCACCAAGCUGGGUUGGCAGUUGGAAUAGCAAUAAGAAAACAUCCAUCAGAGCAGAACAUCUCAUCAGCCUUUCUUCUUCAUAGGCAUUCUACUGCAGGUUCUUAUGAAGAUAGCUCUCACAAGAAAGAAAGAGCAACCUUGAGCUGGGAACUAUGGUAGAGGAUAGUUUGUAUAUAUCUAGACAGAAAUGACCUGGAUAACUGGAGAGAAGUGAGAAAAAGAAGUGGCACAAAAUUAAGGUUAUUAAGUAGGGAACGAGAUGCAAUCAGGUGGCUGUGAGGUAUGAUUAAAGGAGAACACUAAAUUCUGUGCCUCCUACAAACAAUGAGAAUAGGGAAUUAAAAGAGGUCCACAGUAAAACAUGGAUCAGGAGAAGGAAGACAAGAACCAAACAGCUUUGUCAGUGAAAGAGAUAUGAGGAUAGAUCUUACGACACUCUUUCUGUUGGGGGCAUUUGCAUUUAUAUGACUGCUGUGGGGGAAGAUAGUUCAGAAUCCAAUGGGGCCACAAAUCCAGCAAGAGAAGGAUACAUGUGAGACUCUUCACCUCAUAUUUCCUAACCUCAACACCCUUUUUUUUUGGGUUCUUUUUCCCCCUCUUGGCAUCCUCCUCUCCUUAUCCUGCAAUAAUAAUGAAGAGCCCCUCCCCCCCCUCAAGUCAUUCUUUCCCUUGAUCUCAUCCACCUGCACUGUUUGAGUGUGCUGGCUGCCUCUAAUAACCAAUGUGUGGGUGCAGUGCUGUCACCACUGUGAGUGAUGAUGAGACUUGAAAGUGCACCAUUGAGAGUCUCUGAUUCCUUCUGUUACUGUUGACCGAGAUCACUUAAGAGUGACAUGGAUAACCAAAUCUUUUGCAGUGUACUGUACUGAGUAGGACUGUGGCAGGGUCCCCAGCCCUAGUGACGAUGAUUGGCCACCACCCACCCUAGAGGAUGUCCACGGUUUGUGUGGUAGGAAUCUGAGAGCUUUUUACAGUUGGAAAGUGCCAACCUUCUUCUUCUUCUUCUUCUUUGAUUGCAUGCAGUGGUUUCAUAUUCCGGUGCUGUUACCAUCAUUUCUAUGCUCAAAAUUUGGUAGAUCCUCCUGUCAUACUGUUUUACUUCAGCUGUUUAAAAUGAUGAUUCUGUAUUUGGCUCUUCAAUUUCAGAAACAAUUCUUGGAGUGGAAGGUGUGGUAUAUCCA